rnacentral:rRNA from 1 species
UAAGUAAGUGGUGGGAAUUAAACCAAAUGGGAUAUCUUUAGUAAUUGCGAAUGAACAAGGAUAUGCUUAGCUUGACAACUGGAGCUAUUGGCUUUGAAUUGUAUUGUGGAAAUGUAUUACCAACAGAGGUGCAGGUGCCAGCCUAUUGAAAUAAAGCGUCAAUGAGGGUGAGAAUCCUGUUUGUCAUGUGCAGCCCUUUGUGCACGGUGUAUAUUUGCUGAGUCACACUCCUUGGCAUUGGAAUGCAAAGUGGGUGGUAAGUUUCAUGUAAAGGUAAACAUGCAAUUGAGACUGAUAGCACACAAGUACCAUGAGGGAAAUAUGAAAAGGACUUUGAAAAGAGAAUUAAAUGAGUUUGUAUUUGCUGAACACAAAGUAAACAGACUUGAUUUGCUUGGUGGGAGUGUUGCACUUGCUUGACAAGAGCUUUGGGCUGUGGGUGUAAUGAUUCUUUCUUUGCAUGCCAGUUUCUAUUUGUACAUCUGAUUACCUUUGCACAUGAAUGAUAAGUCUCCUGUGGGGGGUGGAUUGCAUGUGCAUGUAAUGAUUUGUGUUUUGAUAAAUGUGUCUGGUGUAUGUGUGUGUUCCUGUGCUUGGGGAUGCUUCCUUCCUUGGACUUACAAGCCCUGACACACACAUGCUGGCAAAAUGCUUCUGCUUGACCCG